UACGUAGGGGGCAAGCGUUGUCCGGAAUUAUUGGGCGUAAAGAGCGUGUAGGCGGUUCGGUAAGUCUGCCGUGAAAACCUGGGGCUCAACCCCGGGCGUGCGGUGGAUACUGCCGGGCUAGAGGGUGGUAGAGGCGAGUGGAAUUCCUGGUGUAGCGGUGAAAUGCGCAGAUAUCAGGAAGAACACCAAUGGCGAAGGCAGCUCUCUGGGACGGUACUGACGCUGAGACGCGAAAGCGUGGGGAGCGAACAGG
rnacentral:rRNA from 1 species